ACGCUCGACACCUACGGGAAGCAGCAGUGGGGAAUAUUGCACAAUGGGGGAAACCCUGAUGCAGCGACGCCGCGUGAGCGAAGAAGUAUCUCGGUAUGUAAAGCUCUAUCAGCAGGGAAGAAGAUGACGGUACCUGACUAAGAAGCACCGGCUAAAUACGUGCCGGCAGCCGCGGUAAUCUGAGGCGGGCUGGACGAAGGC
rnacentral:rRNA from 1 species